CGAAAGCGCAGAUCAGUGUCCAGGUAAACACCAUGUUUCCUGGUUCAGGUCUGGAUCAGGAAAAUCCCAUCCAAGCAUCCUUUACACUCACAGUGAGGAACAAAAGGAACGCAGUUGUGUCUUCAGUCUGUCCAAAACUAUACACAACUCCUCUGAUACCGGGACGUAUUACUGUGCUGUGGCUACAUGUGGACAGAUCCUGUUUGGAGAAGGAACUACAGUGGAGACAAGAACCGUCUCACAGACAAGCGAUGUAUUUCUGCUUCUGCCAUCUGUGGUCUCGGCUAUUAGUGUGAUUGUUAUAGCCAUCCUUAUUCACGCCAUCAAGAAAAACAAGUGUGAUUAUUGCCAUAAUAAAGCUGCUGUGUCCCUGCAAGAAAAUGUUGCAAAAAGGAAUGUAAAGAGAAAUGAAGACCCGUGGAUUUAUUCUACUGUCGUCUUCACCGUGAU